UACGUAGGGGGCAAGCGUUGUCCGGAAUCAUUGGGCGUAAAGAGCGUGUAGGCGGCCCUGUAAGUCCGCUGUGAAAGUCGGGGGCUCAACCCUCGAAUGCCGGUGGAUACUGUCGGGCUAGAGUGCGGAAGAGGCGAGUGGAAUUCCUGGUGUAGCGGUGAAAUGCGCAGAUAUCAGGAGGAACACCAAUUGCGAAGGCAGCUCGCUGGGACGUAACUGACGCUGAGACGCGAAAGCGUGGGGAGCGAACAGG
rnacentral:rRNA from 1 species